CGGAGAAAUUCCAAUCGAACCUGGAGAUAGCUGGUUCUCUCCGAAAUAGCUUUAGGGCUAGCCUCAAGUGAUGAUUAUUGGAGGUAGAGCACUGUUUGGACGAGGGGCCCCUCUCGGGUUACCGAAUUCAGACAAACUCCGAAUGCCAAUUAAUUUAACUUGGGAGUCAGAACAUGGGUGAUAAGGUCCGUGUUCGAAAGGGAAACAGCCCAGACCACCAGCUAAGGUCCCAAAAUAUAUGUUAAGUGGAAAAGGAUGUGGCGUUGCCCAGACAACUAGGAUGUUGGCUUAGAAGCAGCCAUCAUUUAAAGAGUGCGUAAUAGCUCACUAGUCGAGUGACACUGCGCCGAAAAUGUACCGGGGCUAAACAUAUUACCGAAGCUGUGGAUUGUCCUUUGGACAAUGGUAGGAGAGCGUUCUAAGGGCGUUGAAGCAUGAUCGUAAGGACAUGUGGAGCGCUUAGAAGUGAGAAUGCCGGUGUGAGUAGCGAAAGACGGGUGAGAAUCCCGUCCACCGAUUGACUAAGGUUUCCAGAGGAAGGCUCGUCCGCUCUGGGUUAGUCGGGUCCUAAGCUGAGGCCGACAGGCGUAGGCGAUGGAUAACAGGUUGAUAUUCCUGUACCACCUAUAAUCGUUUUAAUCGAUGGGGGGACGCAGUAGAAUAGGCGAAGCGUGCGAUUGGAUUGCACGUCUAAGCAGUAAGGCUGAGUAUUAGGCAAAUCCGGUACUCGUUAAGGCUGAGCUGUGAUGGGGAGAAGACAUUGUGUCUUCGAGUCGUUGAUUUCACACUGCCGAGAAAAGCCUCUAGAUAGAAAAUAGGUGCCCGUACCGCAAACCGACACAGGUAGUCAAGAUGAGAAUUCUAAGGUGAGCGAGCGAACUCUCGUUAAGGAACUCGGCAAAAUGACCCCGUAACUUCGGGAGAAGGGGUGCUCUUUAGGGUUAACGCCCAGAAGAGCCGCAGUGAAUAGGCCCAAGCGACUGUUUAUCAAAAACACAGGUCUCUGCUAAACCGUAAGGUGAUGUAUAGGGGCUGACGCCUGCCCGGUGCUGGAAGGUUAAGAGGAGUGGUUAGCUUCUGCGAAGCUACGAAUCGAAGCCCCAGUAAACGGCGGCCGUAACUAUAACGGUCCUAAGGUAGCGAAAUUCCUUGUCGGGUAAGUUCCGACCCGCACGAAAGGCGUAACGAUUUGGGCACUGUCUCAACGAGAGACUCGGUGAAAUCAUAGUACCUGUGAAGAUGCAGGUUACCCGCGACAGGACGGAAAGACCCCGUGGAGCUUUACUGUAGCCUGAUAUUGAAAUUCGGCACAGCUUGUACAGGAUAGGUAGGAGCCUUUGAAACGUGAGCGCUAGCUUACGUGGAGGCGCUGGUGGGAUACUACCCUAGCUGUGUUGGCUUUCUAACCCGCACCACUUAUCGUGGUGGGAGACAGUGUCAGGCGGGCAGUUUGACUGGGGCGGUCGCCUCCUAAAAGGUAACGGAGGCGCUCAAAGGUUCCCUCAGAAUGGUUGGAAAUCAUUCAUAGAGUGUAAAGGCAUAAGGGAGCUUGACUGCGAGACCUACAAGUCGAGCAGGGUCGAAAGACGGACUUAGUGAUCCGGUGGUUCCGCAUGGAAGGGCCAUCGCUCAACGGAUAAAAGCUACCCCGGGGAUAACAGGCUUAUCUCCCCCAAGAGUUCACAUCGACGGGGAGGUUUGGCACCUCGAUGUCGGCUCAUCGCAUCCUGGGGCUGUAGUCGGUCCCAAGGGUUGGGCUGUUCGCCCAUUAAAGCGGUACGCGAGCUGGGUUCAGAACGUCGUGAGACAGUUCGGUCCCUAUCCGUCGUGGGCGUAGGAAAUUUGAGAGGAGCUGUCCUUAGUACGAGAGGACCGGGAUGGACAUACCUCUGGUGUACCAGUUGUCGUGCCAACGGCAUAGCUGGGUAGCUAUGUGUGGACGGGAUAAGUGCUGAAAGCAUCUAAGCAUGAAGCCCCCCUCAAGAUGAGAUUUCCCAACUUCGGUUAUAAGAUCCCUCAAAGAUGAUGAGGUUAAUAGGUUCGAGGUGGAAGCAUGGUGACAUGUGGAGCUGACGAAUACUAAUCGAUCGAAGACUUAAUCAA
rnacentral:rRNA from 1 species